AGCGAACGCUGGCGGCAGGCUUAACACAUGCAAGUCGAGCGGGCAUCCUUGUGGUGUCAGCGGCAGACGGGUGAGUAACGCGUGGGAACGUGCCCUUCGGUUCGGAAUAACUCAGGGAAACUUGAGCUAAUACCGGAUACGUGCGAGAGCAGAAAGGUUUAUCUGCCGAAGGAUCGGCCCGCGUCUGAUUAGCUAGUUGGUGAGGUUACGGCUCACCAAGGCGACGAUCAGUAGCUGGUCUGAGAGGAUGAUCAGCCACACUGGGACUGAGACACGGCCCAGACUCCUACGGGAGGCAGCAGUGGGGAAUAUUGGACAAUGGGGGCAACCCCGAUCCAGCCAUGCCGCGUGAGUGAUGACGGCCUUAGGGUUGUAAAGCUCUUUUCUCCGGGACGAUAAUGACGGUACCGGAGGAAUAAGCCCCGGCUAACUUCGU
rnacentral:rRNA from 1 species